rnacentral:rRNA from 1 species
AUUAGCGGCGGACGGGUGAGUAACACGUGGAUAACCUACCUAUAAGACUGGGAUAACUUCGGGAAACCGGAGCUAAUACCGGAUAAUAUUUUGAACCGCAUGGUUCAAAAGUGAAAGACGGUCUUGCUGUCACUUAUAGAUGGAUCCGCGCUGCAUUAGCUAGUUGGUAAGGUAACGGCUUACCAAGGCAACGAUGCAUAGCCGACCUGAGAGGGUGAUCGGCCACACUGGAACUGAGACACGGUCCAGACUCCUACGGGAGGCAGCAGUAGGGAAUCUUCCGCAAUGGGCGAAAGCCUGACGGAGCAACGCCGCGUGAGUGAUGAAGGUCUUCGGAUCGUAAAACUCUGUUAUUAGGGAAGAACAUAUGUGUAAGUAACUGUGCACAUCUUGACGGUACCUAAUCAGAAAGCCACGGCUAACUACGUGCCAGCAGCCGCGGUAAUACGUAGGUGGCAAGCGUUAUCCGGAAUUAUUGGGCGUAAAGCGCGCGUAGGCGGUUUUUUAAGUCUGAUGUGAAAGCCCACGGCUCAACCGUGGAGGGUCAUUGGAAACUGGAAAACUUGAGUGCAGAAGAGGAAAGUGGAAUUCCAUGUGUAGCGGUGAAAUGCGCAGAGAUAUGGAGU